GGUGCAUAUCGUGGUGGUGCUGCUCCUGGCGGUUAUCAUCGUGACAUCAUCUGCAGGAACUGCAAUCAAUUGGGGCAUACUGCCAGGGACUGCAUGGGUGCUAUGAUGAUCUGCCACAACUGUGGUGGGCGAGGUCACCUUUCUUAUGAGUGUCCUUCUGCUAGGCUGAUGUUGGACAGCAUGGAUCGCAUGGGUGGGAGGUUCAUGGAUCGCAUGGACCGUCGGAGGUGGUUCUGAGAGUCUUGGUAGCUCUAAUAUCAUUUGGCAUGGUUUGAACGCUCUUUGAGCUCUAUAUUUCCUUUUGCAUGGUGGAUUGAACUU
rnacentral:misc_RNA from 1 species